GACGAACGCUGGCGGCGUGCUUAACACAUGCAAGUCGAACGAUGAACCCGGAGCUUGCUCUGGGGGAUUAGUGGCGAACGGGUGAGUAACACGUGAGUAACCUGCCCUGGACUCUGGGAUAAGCGUUGGAAACGACGUCUAAUACCGGAUAGGACCUUGGAUCGCAUGAUCUGGGGUGGAAAGUUUUUUCGGUCUGGGAUGGACUCGCGGCCUAUCAGCUUGUUGGUGAGGUAAUGGCUCACCAAGGCGUCGACGGGUAGCCGGCCUGAGAGGGUGACCGGCCACACUGGGACUGAGACAGGGACCAGACAGCUACGGGAGGGAGGAGUGGGGAAUAAUGCACAAUGGGCGAAAGCCUGAUGCAGCCACGACGCGUGCGGGAUGAAGGCCGUCGGGUUGUAAACCGCUUUUAGUAGGGAAGAAGGGCUUCGGCUUGACGGUACCUGCAGAAAAAGGACCGGCUAACUACGUG
rnacentral:rRNA from 1 species